AUGUUCACUAUAGAUGCGCUCCAGAUCAAGAUCAGCCAGACUCUGCAGGAAUUGGAAACCCUUCUACCCUCUCCAAUCUUAGAAGAGGUUCACAAGUUUGUGGACAAGGCUCAGCGGGCCCAACACUCUCAAGGAAAAGAAAGACAACGCAGGAAAUUUCACACCUUGCUUUCAAAAACCCACACUCCUCAGUCUGAAACCACACAACUCAGAGAAGAAAACACACCUGAAGACAGUCGGGAGAAAUGGGUAAAGAACUUUUCAGACCGGAAUCUCACUGAACCUGAAAAGAAGGUUUUAGCCAAAGGACUCAAUUUCGCCAUUUCUCCGCAACAGUUGCCCAUAGUGGACCUCAUCACAGCCACAGAAACCGCCAUACGGAUUAAUAAAUUAUCACAGACCGAAGCAGAGCAAAUCAGGAUGAAAGUCUCAACCACCCUCUCCAGUGCCAAAGUCCCUCCGUCUAACCUCACACUACAAGAAAAGAAGGCCGUUGCUUCCCUGAGCAAAGACCACAACAUCACUAUAUUACCAGCGGAUAAGGGAAGGUGCACCGUGGUCCUAAACACAACAGAUUACCACACGAAGAUCACUACUCUCCUCAGUGACAACAACACCUACGAAGCUUUAAAACGAGACCCCACAAGCAGCUACAAAAAGAAAGUUAUAGCUUGCCUUCAAGACCUUGAAAAGGACAAAAUCAUUGACCGCCUCAAAUAUCACCGGCUUUAUCCAGGGGAUGCCAUACCCUGCAUUUAUGGACUUCCUAAGAUCCACAAGGAAGGGGUCCCACUCAGACCCAUAGUCAGUAGCAUAAACUCAGCCACUUAUAACAUUGCGAAACACCUUGCUACCAUCCUGGCACCUCUCGUGGGGAACACCCCACACCACAUCAAGAACUCCACCGACUUCACCGACAAGGUCCAGAAACUUACCCUGGAUCCAGAUGAAACCAUGGUGUCCUUUGAUGUAGUCUCUCUCUUCACUUGCAUACCCACCACGGAGGCAGUGGAGACUGUCAGAAAACGACUACAAGAAGACAGCUCCUUGGAAGACAGGAUCAACUUCACACCCGAUCAGAUCUGCACACUGUUAGACCUCUGCCUUACCACAACAUACUUCAAAUACAACGAAGGCUUCUACAGACAAAAACAUGGCUGUGCCAUGGGCUCCCCUGUGUCACCUAUUGUAGCCAACCUUUACAUGGAGGAAGUGGAAAGAAAGGCUCUUGGCUCUUUUAAAGGGAGAGUACCCAGCCACUGGUACAGAUAUGUAGACGACACCUGGGUCAAAAUCAAGACACAAGAAGUGGAAUCCUUCACUGCGCACAUUAACGCCGUGGAUAAAAACAUCAAGUUCACCAGGGAAGACACUAAGGAUAACUGUUUGCCUUUCCUGGACUGCGCUGUGCACAUUGAAGAGAAUGGCAACCUCAACAUUGAAGUUUACCGGAAGCCCACACACACGGACCAGUACCUCCUCUUUGACUCCCAUCACCCUCUGGAACACAAACUUGGAGUAAUUAGGACCCUACACCACCGGGCAGAACUUGUUCCCUCUAAGCCUGAAGGGAAAAAGAAGGAACACACACAUGUAAAGGAAGCACUGAAAACAUGUGGUUAUCCUAACUGGGCGUUCAUAAAGUCAGCAAAGAGGCACAGAAAAGAAGAUCAGACACCAGCGAGGGAGGAUAAGAAAGACAGACGCAACAACAUUGUCAUCCCCUAUGUAGCCGGUGUAUCAGAGAAACUCAGAAGAGUUUUCUCCAAGCACGACAUCCCAGUGUACUUCAGACCCAGCAACACACUCAGACACAAACUGGUUCACCCGAAAGACAAAACUCCAAAACACAGACUGAACAACGUGGUGUAUGCUGUACAGUGCAGUGAGGAAUGCCCGGACCUCUACAUUGGAGAGACCAAACAGCCACUUCACAAGCGCAUGGCACAACAUAGAAGAGCCACCUCCACAGGACAAGACUCAGCAGUCCAUCUGCAUCUUAAGGAUAAAGGUCACUCUUUCGAGGAUGCCAAUGUUCACAUAUUGGACAGAGAGGACAGAUGGUUUGAAAGAGGAGUGAAAGAGGCCAUCUAUGUCCACUGUGAGCGACCAUCUUUGAACAGAGGCGGUGGUUUACGACACCAACUGUCUGCCAUCUAUAAUCCAGUUUUGAGUUCCCUCCCCAGACGCCUUAACGCCCACUCACAUCCUGGGCCAUCUGACCUCAGGAAAUCACAUGAUAGGGUGGGGCCAGGUUUCACAAUGAGCUCACCCGAAACCCUGGCUGAUUAG
ensembl:lncRNA